rnacentral:rRNA from 1 species
GCUGUGGAAGCACAUUUCUUGUGUGACCGCGUACUUUUUGUAGAACGGGCCAACGAGUUACGUUAAGUAGCAAGGUUAAGCACUUAAGGUGUGGAGCCGUAGCGAAAGCGAGUUUUAACUGAGCGUUUAGUUACUUGACGUAGACCCGAAACCGGGCGACCUACCCAUGAGCAGGAUGAAGCGAAAGUAAAAUUUCGUGGAGGUCCGAACCCACGAGCG